CACACAGGCACACUCUCAAAUCACAUUUUAAUCCCUUGGUUUUAUUAACACUGGAGCCUCCGCAUCUGGCAUCGAGGGAUGGAGAACCUUCUGGAUUGGGGUCCAGUUUAAUGCUUUGAAAAAGAAGAAAUGGCUGAGGUUAACUUAGCCCUACAAAACAAGAUUCUCAUUGGCACGGUUGUGGUCCUCAUUGUUAUCAUCAUUAUCAUCUUAAGUUAUUAUUGUUCAAGAAAAAGAAGGCGAGAUCCUGAAGAAGG